rnacentral:lncRNA from 1 species
GGGGAUGGGGACAGGGACAGGGAUGGGGACAGGGAUGGGGAUGGGGACAGGGACAGGGAUGGGGACAGGUUCCCCGCAAGCUCGAGGGUGGCUAACACCCCCCCCCCUUCACCCCCCCUGAGCAGACGCCCCAGCAGAGCCCGGCCCCACGGAGGACGAGAGACCGCGCCUGCAGGACGCGGGACAGUACGUGCUGGCGGAGCUGCGGGCGCUCGAGGACGAGCAGACGCAGCUCGAUGGCCGGGCCGUCACCCUGGAGCGGGAGCUGCGGCGCCUCAUGGACUCAGGCGCGGACCCCCCCCGGGAGGAGGUGCUGAUGCAGGAGUGGUUCUCGCUGGUGAACAGGAAAAACGCCCUGAUCCGGCGCCAGGACCAGCUGCAGCUGCUGGCGGAGGAGCAGGACCUGGAGCGACGCUUCGAGCUGCUGAGCCGGGAGCUGCGGGCGAUGUUGGCCACCGAGGACUGGCAGAAGUCAGCAGCGCAGAAGCAGCGGGAGCAGCUGCUGCUGGACGAACUCGUGUCGCUGGUGAACCAGCGGGACGAGCUGGUGCGGGA